GCUGAAAAUUGAAAUUUGUCAUCUUUUUCGUAGAAGAAAACUGUUUAUCGCUGCAUUUAUGUUGUUUUAUCCGUGUUUCCCUUUGCUUUAUCGAUAGUUCAAACAUCGUUAUUUCGGCCGUCGCGUGUUGCGACACCUCAAUGAAAUACAUAUAAGGGACACAUAAUGUCUAAUAAAACACUUGGUUUAGUAAAAUGGUUUAACGAAGAGAAAGGUUUUGGUUUUCUAACUCAAGACAAUGGCGGCGCUGACGUCUUCGUUCACUUCCGUGCCAUCGCUUCAGAAGGGUUUAAAACCUUAGCUGAAGGUCAGAAAGUCUCAUUUGACGUAGAGCAAGGCCAGAAAGGUCUGCAAGCGGUAAAUGUUAUCGGGCUAUAAGUUUAUCUGUUGAUAAGCAUGAAAUGCUGGCUAAGGCCGGCAUUUUUUA
rnacentral:sRNA from 1 species